GACGAACGCUGGCGGCGUGCUUAACACAUGCAAGUCGAACGGAAAGGCCCUGCUUUUGUGGGGUGCUCGAGUGGCGAACGGGUGAGUAACACGUGAGUAACCUGCCCUUGACUUUGGGAUAACUUCAGGAAACUGGGGCUAAUACCGGAUAGGAGCUCCUGCUGCAUGGUGGGGGUUGGAAAGUUUCGGCGGUUGGGGAUGGACUCGCGGCUUAUCAGCUUGUUGGUGGGGUAGUGGCUCACCAAGGCUUUGACGGGUAGCCGGCCUGAGAGGGUGACCGGCCACAUUGGGGCUGAGAUACGGCCCAGACUCCUACGGGAGGCAGCAGUGGGGAAUAUUGCACAAUGGGCGGAAGCCUGAUGCAGCAACGCCGCGUGCGGGAUGACGGCCUUCGGGUUGUAAACCGCUUUCGCCUGUGACGAAGCGUGAGUGACGGUAAUGGGUAAAGAAGCACCGGCUAACUACGUG
rnacentral:rRNA from 1 species